CCAUCAUGUUAACCGAUGCUCCCUUUGCAUGCAACAAGAAGAAACGAUUGACCAUCUCUAUUUUGCUUGUGACUAUACUAAAUGGAUAUGGAAGGAGAUUCUCUAGCGAUUCGAACUCAAUAGAAUGCCGCAACCAAACUUGCAUCAAGAAUUAGCUGACCUCAUGCAAUAUUUUUCAAGAAAAGGGCCUCUUACACAAUUGACAAAGGUUAUAUUCAGAUGCGUUAUUUGGUGGAUGUGGAAG
rnacentral:lncRNA from 1 species